CCUGACUGCUAUCGGAUUGAUACUAAGCCAUGCGAGUCGUUGUAGCAAUACAAGGCAGACGGCUCAGUAACACGUAGUCAACCUAACCUAUGGUCGGGGAUAAUCUCGGGAAACNGAGCAUAAUACCCGAUAGGUCAUAAUGCCUGGAAUGGUUUAUGGCCCAAAUGAUUUAUCGCCAUAGGAUGGGACUGCGGUCUAUCAGCUUGUUGGUGAGGUAAUGGCCCACCAAGGCUAUAACAGAUACGGGCUCUGAGAGGAGAAGCCCGGAGAUGGGUACUGAGACACGGACCCAGGCCCUAUGGGGCGCAGCAGGCGAGAAAACUUUGCAAUGUGCGAAAGCACGACAAGGUUAAUCCGAGUGUUUCCUGCUAAAGGAAUCUUUUGUCGAUCCUAAAAACACCGAUGAAUAAGGGGUGGGCAAGUUCUGGUGUCAGCCGCCGCGGUAAAACCAGCACCUCAAGUGGUCAGGAGGAUUAUUGGGCCUAAAGCAUCCGUAGCCGGCUGUGUUAGUCUCCGGUUAAAUCCAUAUGCUUAACAUAUGGGCUGCCGGAGAUACUGCACAGCUAGGGAGUGGGAGAGGUAGACGGUACUUGGUAGGAAGGGGUAAAAUCCUUUAAUCUACUGAUGACCACCUGUGGCGAAGGCGGUCUACUAGAACACGUCCGACGGUGAGGGAUGAAAGCUGGGGGAGCAAACCGGAUUAGAUACCCGGGUAGUCCCAGCUGUAAACAAUGCAAACUCAGUGAUGCGCUGGCUUGUGGCCAGCGCAGUGCUGCAGGGAAGCCGUUAAGUUUGCCGCCUGGGAAGUACGUACGCAAGUAUGAAACUUAAAGGAAUUGGCGGGGGAGCACCACAAGGGGUGAAGCCUGCGGUUC
rnacentral:rRNA from 2 species